GUGCCAGCAGCCGCGGUAAUACGUAGGGUGCGAGCGUUGUCCGGAAUUAUUGGGCGUAAAGAGCUUGUAGGUGGUUUGUCGCGUCUGCUGUGAAAAUCCGAGGCUCAACCUCGGACUUGCAGUGGGUACGGGCAGACUAGAGUGUGGUAGGGGAGACUGGAAUUCCUGGUGUAGCGGUGGAAUGCGCAGAUAUCAGGAGGAACACCGAUGGCGAAGGCAGGUCUCUGGGCCAUUACUGACACUGAGAAGCGAAAGCAUGGGGAGCGAACAGGAUUAGAAACCCCUGUAGUCC
rnacentral:rRNA from 1 species